AUACAUACACACGAGGGUCCUUGUGAGAGGAAGGCGGGAGGGUGAGUCAGAGAAGGAGCUGCGCCAGGAGGGAAGCAGAGGCCACGGUGAUGUGCUUUGAAGACGGAGGAUGGGGCCACAAGCCAAGGGACCCAGGAGGCCGCUAGAAGUGGGAAGGACCACGAGACAUUCUCUCCUGGCGCUCCCAGAAGGAACGGGACCCUGCUGACAUCCCGACUUUAGCCCCCUCAUUGGAACUCCGACCUCCAGAACCGGAAUACAUUUGUGCUGUUUUCAGUCACCAGACAAGUGGUGAUGGGUUACAGCGGCAACAGGGAACUGAUAGGGUGGCCGUGGAUGAGGAAACUGAGGCCCCGAGCAACAACGUGGGUUGCCCAAAGUCACACUGCAACCCAGCGGCUGAGCAAGAACCGGCUUACGGGACGGGCUCUUGCCUCUUGUCCGGGAGCCCUCGGGGUCCGGGUGGCCCCAGACGCCUUCCCGCAGCAGCGAGCCGUGUGGUUCUUCUGUCACGUCACCUAAUGGCGGGCAGUUCUGACUCCGGAGGUCAGGGCUCCUCCGAGCCCCGUUCCUUGCCUGGGAAAUUGGAGAAAGGCCGUUCCACCCUCCAGGGGCCACUGGGGCUGGCUGUGUGCCGGAACGUGAGAACCAUCCUGCGGUCACGCCCCAGAUUUGCAUCAGGGACCUACCACGUGCCGGGCCUUCCGAGCACCAUUGCUGGAACUAUGUAGACUGAGUCUCCCUCUUUCCUUUGGUGUGGCUGAGCCAGGGGGAUGGGAGACUAGAGCUUUGGGGACGUCUUGGUUAUGAUUUGGAAAGACCCAGUCUGAGAAUGAAGCCAAUGCAAAGGAAAGGAGAACAAACAUGCAAAACACAUUUCCAACCUCACCUUUCCAGUUAUACCCGAUGUCUUGGACUCUUCAACUAAAAGAGCCUCUAUGUUCCUUUCGUGGCUUCAGCAAUCGUGAGCCGAGUUCCUGUAACUUCAGGUUCUGAGUCCCAACUAACCUGGUCUUAUCUCAGCUCAACUGGAGCUGCC